GUGGUGUUUCUUAUGCCUGUUCGGUAUGAGCUUUAGAAAGGUCAGUGUGUCUUGAAGGAAGAACACAGGUUUUCUCUUCUCCCAGUUACGUGAUACAGGUGGUGUAGUGAUGUGUCCCCCAAUACACUGUCUCCCAAUAAAAUUUACCUGAGGAUCAGAGGAAAAAGCCAAUCACUACACAGAAGUCAGGCAACAGUAGCACAUGCCUUUAAUCCUAUCACUUGGGAGGCAGGGAUCUGUCUGGAUCUCUGUGAGUUCGAGGCCACACUGGGAACAGAACCAGGCAUGGUGGCACACGCCUUAAAUUCCAAUACUGGUUCACCAUGGAGGUCUGGAGGUCAGUACAGAGACAGACAGGAAGUGACAGAGCUGGGCAGGAAGAGGAAGUGAUGUAGCUAGACAGAGAGAGCAAAUCAGAUGGCAGAACAGCAAGGCAUGUAGGCGUGGGUAGACAGGAAGUAGCUCGCUUUAGAAGCUGCGGAGUUGGUGAGGUGAGGUUAGCUGUGGCUUUGCCUAUUUCCCUGAUCUCUCAGGAUUUCACCCCUAUAUCUGGCUCCAUGUUUUUUAUUUAACGUAAGAUGAAUUUAGAAAUUUGUCUACAAGGUGGUGUGGACAGGAGCUGUUCUGAAGCAACUCACAGCAGCCCCAGCACAUGCUGUGGCCAUGCCAAGGACAGCAACGCAGGGCAGGAGCUGGGGUGGAGGCAGCAAGCCGUCCCUCACUUUCGUUGUUCCUGAGGGCAUCCUGCUGACCCAGUUAAAGCUGGGCCUCACUACCACGUGCUGCCCAUGGCUGUCCUUUCUUCACAGAGGAGCUGAGCUGUUGCUCACCCUAGCCUUACCUUUGGGCUUAACCAGAAACAGACAACCAAGAGCUCUCUCAGAGUCUGUGCGAGCCCUUAGGAGUUAGCCUCCUGGGAAGUCUUUAGGUGACGGAGAUCUGCUCCAGAAGAUGGUGGGUCCCCACGACUCUUGCUUCCUGGCCAUCAGGUUCCUGCCCUGCUUGAGUUCCUGUCCUGACUUCCCUGAGCCUCUGUGGACUGAAGUGGUGGACUGAAGUGGUCAUCCAUCCUCAGGUCACCAAUGAUGCGGUCCUCACAUACAAUUAAAAAAUUCGGAACGCCCCAAGAGCCUGCAGGAUGUGGUCCUGGAUAGCGCUUUGCCACCCUCAGUGCUCGGGAGAGCAGAGAAGGAAUCACAUUCCUUUCCCUGUGUCUGGCUUCCCGACCCUUCUUCCCGCCUGCUCUGCACCUGCCAGAAACCCUUCCAACGACCAGCCACAGGGGGAGCGUUCACCCUGGACCAACUGGAGCUUCUUCUUUUUUUUUUUUUUUUUUUUAAGAUUUUUAUUUAUUAUGUACACAGUGUUCUGCCUGCAUGUACGCCUACAUGCCAGAAGAGGGCACCAGAUCUCAUUACAGAUGGUUGUGAGCCACCAUGUGGUUGCUGGGAAUUGAACUCAGGACCUCGGAAAGAAGAGCCAGUGCUCUUAACCUCCAGCAUCCCCGAUCUCUGCUCCUGCAGCCUCUGUGGGUUCACAGCUGGUUUUCCUGGACCUCUGCCCUGGAUCUUUCAUGCCUUCAGCCUAUGGACGACCUUCUCUGCUCAGAGUGUGGUUCAAAGACGGUGGCAGGAAGGCCAAGCACCCAUGCCUCAUUCUGAGUCUGUUGCAUGGAGAUGGCCAGCGCUUACUUUUUAUUAAGGCUGCGUCUUUUGGAGGGGAUGGGGACGUAUCUUGCUAUAUAGCCUUGGCUGGUCUAGAACUCACUCUGUAGACCAGGUUGGCCUUGAACUCACAGAAACCCGUCUGCUCUGCCUCCUGAGUGCUGGGAUUAAAGGCACGUGCCACCAUGCCCAGCCCUGAGGUCACAUCUUAACAUUCUCUCCUUAAAGUUUCUCUGGCUCUGUUAUAAGGAAUGACCUGAAAUAUGGACUUUGAAAUAUCAUCUUCUUUAAUUCAUUGGCUUUUUCCCCUUUUAUUAUAAGUUCAUUAAAAAUAGAAAAUCAGCACAAGUUUCCAGAGCCCUGGAAUGUGAGGAGUUUGGAGGUUAAUUUUAAAAAAUGAAACCCCAUCACACUGACCCAGCUCUGAAACUAGCUGCCUGACUUCUUCUGGCCGGCUGUGCACAGGCGACCAGUCAUAAAUUACUAUUCCCGCUUAAAAGCCAGCAGCAAGGAAACUUCCUUGCGAGAUGAACUGUGUUGUUUUUCUUUUGUGGGGAGCUUCUUUGUUAAUUGAAGUUAAUGGUUAAUUGUUGAGAAAACAUUUUAUCAAAUUAUAACAUUAAUACAGAAAAAUGCACAAGCUGUAAGUCUUCAAUGUGACCAGCGUUCACACGUGGACCACCCUCACAUGGCCUCCUCCAGAUCACGGGUGGGUGUGGGGGACGUUAGCUUUGUCCUACAGCUAAGGAAAUAAGGUUCGAGGAGGUGAAGUGAGGUUCUCCCGGGAGGAGGCAUCAGGGAGGGGGGCAGGGCCAGUCUCUGGGGCUGCUCAGUGGAGAAAGGCUGAAUGGUGGAAGGUGCUAGCUGGGAACAGAGAAAGGAGUAAUUGGUGUUUAAGUAGUCUGGGCCCAAGAGGAAGGAGCAGGAAGGAGGGGCCAUAUGGAGGGGCAGGCUGAGAGCCUGCAGCCCUGGUGCUGGCCUGACUGCAGUAUGGGGACAGAUGGACAGAUGACGUGUUACUUCCCCAGGCCUUGGGCCUUUAAAAAAUAAAACAAGGCCUAAAGCAUCCUGAUGGACAGGAAGGAUCUCAGUAUGUUGCUCAUUGCUGGCUUUCAAAACUAACUUCAAGCCAUCCUCCUGCCUCAGCUUCCUGAGUAGCCAGGACAACUCAAGCAGAGUACAUUUCCACUUUGUCAGAAAUACUCGUUGUAUCUUUGUAACUGGUAGAACCAAGGUACUCACAAGUGCUAGGCCAGUGCCCUACACGGAUCUAUAUCCUCAGCCCUCCAAAAACAUUAACAAACACAUACCAUAUCACCACCUAUCUAUCUAUCUAUCUAUCUAUCUAUCCAUCCAUCCAUCCAUCCAUCCAUCCAUCCAUGAAUGACAGGGUCUCCUGUAACCCAGACUAUCCUCAAACUCUCUAUGAGGACCAGAAUGGUCUUGACUCCUGAUCCUCCUGCCUCUGCUUCUGGAGUGUGGAGAUACAGGUGUGCACUACUACACCCAUGCUAUCAUUUUCUUGUGUGGGUUUUUUUGGGCUUUUUGGGUUUUUUGAGACAGGGUUUCUAUGUGUAGUUCUGGCUGUCCUGGAACUCACUCUGUAGACCAGGCUGGCCUCGAACUCACAGAGAUCCGCCUGCCUCUGCCUCCUGAGUGCUGGGAUUAAAGGCGUGCGCCACCACCGCCCAGCAGUUUUGUAUUUUUUUUAAAAGAUUUAGCUAUUUAUUAUAUAUACAUAUUGUGCCUGCAUGUAUACCUGCAGGCCAGGAGAGGACGCCAGAUCUCAUUACAGAUGGUUGAGAGCCACCAUGUGGUUGCUAGGAAUUGAACUCAGGACCUCUGGAAGAACAGUCAGUGCUCUUAACCACUGAGCCAUCUCUCCAGCCCCCAGUUUUGUAUUUUUUAAGGACAGUCUCAUGCACAUGCAAAAGCAAUCAAGUAUGUGUGCAUGCCCACACACACACACACACACACACAGAGGGAAGAGGGAGAGAGAGAGAGAGAGAGAGAGAGAGAAUAAAGACCCAUCUUAAGACCAUCUUCAGUUUUACAGAAACAAAACAAACCCCGCGUCUGCACAGUCCUUACCUCAUUUUAUCUCGUUUGCCUUGGGUAGGCCAGAACUUGUCACUCAAGGCCCGGUCCUCGGCGCGGUGCUGGGGGAUGAUGACCAAGGAGCUGAGGUCCAGGAUCCCUUUCUAGGACUGGUCACCCAGGUCUAGGGAUGCUGGCCCCGUGAGGUUUCCAGGGUUAUCAAACGAAAACACAUCCUGCUUAGUAAAGCUUGAACUGCAAGCUAAACUUAUUUACAUGUACACAUGCAUGUAUGUAUAUGCACACAUUUACACAAUGAAGUGUUGCUUGCCAGAAGGUCCGGUCUAGCAGGGCGUGCUGGGUUGGAUCCCAAAGCCCCUCCAGGGAAACUUGCAGAGUUGCUGAGGAUGGCCCAGAGUGGGCCAGAGAUCCAGAGCUAUUGCUUGAGGGCCGUGGCUCAGCAGACCCUUGUCACAAGUGCAGUGACCCUCAGCCACCUGCAGCUGUGGCCCGAGGGCAGCAAGCCUGUUUCCCAGCCUCCCUCCUUGCUGCCUGGCAAGUCCUUUAUUUAUUCAUGUUUUAAUGAAAACAAAUUAGGGUUUUCUCACUCUCUGGAGGUGAUUGCUCUUGUGGUAAGAGGAGACACCUGACUCCUCUCGUCAGGCUCAGCCCCAGCGGAGAGGCCUGAGUGGGCCCGUCAGGCUCAGCCCCAGCGGAGAGGCCUGAGUGGGCCCAUCAGGCUCAGCCCCAGCGGAGAGGCCUGAGUGGGCCUGGUUUCCAGGAGGCUGGCUCCCACCAUCAACUCUUUGUUAUCUGUCUGUGCACUGAGAGAGGCUGAAGGCGCCCGGGAUGCCGACCAGGGAGAGAGCCACCAAACAAUUCAUGUGUUAUCCCAGGCACCACAACUCUGAGGUAAGUCUAGCUACCCCAGGAUGGUGAGGGAUCAUGUCAAAGGUUGAUUCAGGGUAGAACUGUGAUUUGACCAAAGACUCAUCAGACCGGGGCUCUACCCAAGGAAUGUUCCAAGUCUCAACCAAGAGAAGCUCUGGUUAACCUGAAUAGAGUGUUUUGUUUUCCGAGACAGGGUCACACUGUGUAGCCCUGGCUGUCCUGAAACUCACUGUGUAGACCAGGCUGGCCGGAAACUCACUGUGUGGACCAGGCUGGCCAUGAACUCACUGGCCUGCCCCUGCCUCCUGAGGGCUGGGAUUAAAGGCGUGCGCCACCAUGCUUGAACCACCGUGCUUGACAGGUUUUUGUUUUAUAAAGCUCACUAGGAGACACCACUGAACAGGCCACACUACCUCUCCCUUCCUCUGGCUGCUCAAGAGUCAGGCCUGAACGACCUAGAGCGCUGAGAUGAAGUGUGGUAGAGCUCUGGUCAGUCUCUGGAUGUAAGGUGACCAUCACCAUCCUUUUCAAUCGCAGUAGUUGUCGUAAUCAUCCCAGACCUUCACAGGGUGGAACCUAGACUAAUUCCCUUAUAGCAGUGAGGGGCUUUUAUCCCAGUCACUCAUUCCCUCUGUCCCCCUCCCUCCAUCUGCAGGGAAUCCUGCCCAGCUGAUUGUUACCCUGAGGAUGCUGGAAUAGAGAG